rnacentral:rRNA from 1 species
GUCGAACGAAGGGAAGGGGGCUUGCCCCCUGAACUUAGUGGCGGACGGCUGAGUAACACGUGAGCAACCUGCCCUAUAGAGGGGGAUAACGUUUGGAAACGAACGCUAAUACCGCAUAACGCGCUGGGGGGACAUCCCUUUGGCGCCAAAGGAGCAAUCCGCUAUAGGAUGGGCUCGCGUCCGAUUAGAUAGUUGGCGGGGUAACGGCCCACCAAGUCGACGAUCGGUAGCCGGACUGAGAGGUUGAACGGCCACAUUGGGACUGAGACACGGCCCAGACUCCUACGGGAGGCAGCAGUGGGGGAUAUUGCACAAUGGAGGGAACUCUGAUGCAGCGACGCCGCGUGAGGGAAGAAGGUUUUCGGAUUGUAAACCUCUGUCUUCGGUGACGAAACGAGACGGUAGCCGAGGAGGAAGCCACGGCUAACUACGUGCCAGCAGCCGCGGUAAUACGUAGGUGGCAAGCGUUGUCCGGAAUUACUGGGUGUAAAGGGAGCGUAGGCGGGAAAGCAAGUUGAAUGUUUAAGGUACGGGCUCAACCUGUACAAGCGUUCAAAACUGUUUUUCUUGAGUGGAGUAGAGGUAAGCGGAAUUCCUAGUGUAGCGGUGAAAUGCGUAAAUAUUAGGAGGAACACCAGUGGCGAAGGCGGCUUACUGGGCUUUAACUGACGCUGAGGCUCGAAAGCGUGGGUAGCAAACAGGAUUAGAUACCCUGGUAGUCCACGCCGUANACGAUGAUUGCUAGGUGUGGGGGGACNGACCCCUUCCGUGCCGGAGUUAACACAAUAAGUAAUCCACCUGGGGAGUACGACCGCAAGGUUGAAACUCAAAGGAAUUGACGGGGGCCCGCACAAGCAGUGGAGUAU